CUAUGANCACUAGGUGAAGGUCAAAUUCCAUCAAUUCAAAAACGAUGUAGAUAUCUCUAAAUUCUCUACGAGAAGGAGGAAGCAUUAUAUGCUUUAUUUCAACAAUAUCAGGAUGGCGAAGCAGCUGAAGAAGCUUGAUUUCUCUGAGAAUUCAUGUAGCAUCAGAGACAUGUUCAAAAACAUCAUUGAUCUUCUUGAUUGCAAUCUUUUCUCUAGUGUAAGCAUCAACAGCAGAACCCACAACACCAUUAACUACCCUUCCCUAUAACUUCUUGAACCUGAUGUCUACUCGCUUCCCCAUACUCUGUAAAGAAUUCUGUUUCCUGUGCAUUCUGAUAUAAUAAGUAUCCAAUUAGAAUCUGUGGAGUGCAGCUUAAACAUCUACACGAAUGAAUACAGCAAAAGAAUAAUUUUCCUUGUCAAGAUAAGACACUGUUCAUUUCUUUCUGUUUAGAAGA
rnacentral:lncRNA from 1 species